UACGUAGGGGGCGAGCGUUGUCCGGAUUCAUUGGGCGUAAAGAGCUCGUAGGCGGCUUGGCAAGUCGGAUGUGAAAACUCCAGGCUCAACCUGGAGCCGCCAUUCGAUACUGCUAUGGCUAGAGUCCGGUAGGGGAGUGUGGAAUUCCCGGUGUAGCGGUGAAAUGCGCAGAUAUCGGGAGGAACACCGAUGGCGAAGGCAGCACUCUGGGCCGGUACUGACGCUGAGGAGCGAAAGCGUGGGGAG
rnacentral:rRNA from 1 species